rnacentral:lncRNA from 1 species
GGUGUAAUUAUUAAAAAUAGAUUCAACUAUACGAUCAGUUAUAGAAAGUUAUGGGAGGUAAAGCAAAAAGUAAUGACACUGACAUAUGAAGAUUGGGAUAAAUCUUAUGACUUAUUGCCAAAAUGAUUGCAUACUGUACAGAAAUUUAAUCUCGGCUCUUAAGUGAAGUUUAUCAGCACUUCCAUCGGUUAUCCUCCAUUGGCUGCAUUUGAUCGUGCUUUUUGGAUAUUUGCACCAUCAAUUGAAGGCUUCAAAUACUUAGACCGA